rnacentral:lncRNA from 1 species
AAUGAACUCCUUGCUCUUGUGCUUCUAAAGAUAGUCUCGUCAACGCAAAAUCACUCUCUCGGAGAAUAGGCAUGGGUAGGAGAGAUUGAUUUGGUGGAAAGCAGUUUGGGGAGGCUGGAGAUCAAGUUUCAAAUGAUUGGAUUGGAAUAUCUUGGUCUCCACACAUGAGUAGGUGGUUCUCUCUCAGAAAAUGGAUCUCGCAAUGAAGUGUGUGUUAUGAGUGCUUCUCCUAGGAAUGA